rnacentral:rRNA from 1 species
GACGAACGCUGGCGGCAGGCUUAACACAUGCAAGUCGAGCGCCCCGCGAAGGGAGCGGCGGACGGGUGAGUAACGCGUGGGAAUCUGCCCUUUGGUGUGGGACAACCACGGGAAACUGUGGCUAAUACCGCAUGAGCCCGAGAGGGGAAAGCCGCAAGGCGCCGAGGGAUGAGCCCCGCGUCGGAUUAGCUAGUUGGUAGGGUAACGGCCUACCAAGGCGAUGAUCCCGUAGCUGGUCNGAGAGGAUGAUCAGCCACACUGGGACUGAGACACGGCCCAGACUCCUACGGGAGGCAGCAGUGGGGAAUAUUGGACAAUGGGGGAAACCCUGAUCCAGCCAUGCCGCGUGAGUGAUGAAGGCC